rnacentral:rRNA from 1 species
UACGACUACAUAUCAGGCAUAUCAAUAAGCGGAGGAAAAGAAACUAACAAGGAUUCCCCUAGUAACGGCGAGUGAAGCGGGAAGAGCUCAAAUUUGAAAUCUUAAAGGGUUUCCCUUUACGAAUUGUAGUUUAAAGAAGUGUUUUCUGUUGGAGUUUACGGUAAAAGUUCUUUGGAAUAGGACAUCAUAAAGGGUGAGAAUCCCGUAUUUGACCGUUACUUUCCAGCUGUGUGAUACACUUUCAAAGAGUCGGAUUGUUUGGGAAUGCAGUCCAAGAUGGGUGGUAAAUUUCAUCUAAAGCUAAAUAUUGGCGAGAGACCGAUAGCGAACAAGUACCGUGAGGGAAAGAUGAAAAGAACUUUGAAAAGAGAGUUAAACAGUACGUGAAAUUGUCAAAAGGGAAGCGUUUGACACCAGUGUUGUUUAGUUGAAAAUCAAUUCAAUAGUUUUUGAUUCUAAGUAGUAUUGACUUCAUCAGCUUGCUGCUUUCUUCUCAGAAAUUAUUGAAUGCACUUUUCAGUUAACAAGUCAACAUCAAUUUCUUUUGUUGUAAAAGGGUAAGAGGAAGGUGGCUUGCGCUUCGGCUCAAGUGUUUAUAGCCUUUUAUCUCUGCAAUCGGAGAGAUUGAGGUCUGCAGCGUAGAUCCUUCGGGGUUAGAUACAUUGGUGCUAAGCUAUAGCCUUGUAUAGACAACUUGUUGACUAUGCUCAGUCAUGUAGCUUACUCGCUGAUGCUAUUUUACCUACGCUUAGGAUGUUGAGUAGCGACAUACGCAC